rnacentral:rRNA from 1 species
UACGUAGGGUGCAAGCGUUAAUCGGAAUUACUGGGCGUAAAGCGUGCGCAGGCGGUUGUGCAAGACCGAUGUGAAAUCCCCCGGCUUAACCUGGGAACUGCGUCUGAUACUGGAAGGCUUGAGGAUGGGAGAGGGAUGUAGAAUUCCAGGUGUAGCGGUGAAAUGCGUAGAUAUCUGGAGGAAUACCGGUGGCGAAGGCGGCAUCCUGGACCAUUACUGACGCUGAGGCUGCGAAAGCUAGGG